rnacentral:rRNA from 1 species
AUCCCGGUGACCGGGAUUUAACCGUCCUUUCUCUUCGGAGCACUGGAGACAGGUGGUGCAUGGUUGUCGUCAGCUCGUGUCGUGAGAUGUUGGGUUAAGUCCCGCAACGAGCGCAACCCCUAUCUUUAGUAGCCAGCAUUUCGGAUGGGCACUCUAGAGAGACUGCCAGGGACAACCUGGAGGAAGGUGGGGAUGACGUCAAAUCAUCAUGCCCCUUAUGACCAGGGCUACACACGUGCUACAAUGGCGUAAACAAAGGGAAGCAAGCAUGUGAAUGUGAGCAAAUCCCAAAAAUAACGUCUCAGUUCGGAUUGUAGUCUGCAACUCGACUACAUGAAGCUGGAAUCGCUAGUAAUCGCGAAUCAGAAUGUCGCGGUGAAUACGUUCCCGGGUCUUGUACACACCGCCCGUCACACCAUGGGAGUCAGUAACGCCCGAAGCCGGUGACCCAACCAAUCGGAGGGAGCCGUCGAAGGUGGGACCGAUAACUGGGGUGAAGUCGUAAC